UCUCUCUCUCUCUCUCUCUCUCUCUCUCUCUCUCUCUCCAUAUCGCUAUCUCCCGUCAGUAAGCCCUUAAGCUUCCUCAACCAAAAAAUCUUCGAUCUUCACAUCGCUCUUUCCCCUCAACUGCCUCUAUGGAAGAGCGCCCUCUUCAUCGUCAGCAUCCUCUUCGUUGUCGGUGUCUUCUUCGUUGUUGGCAUCUUGGAUUACUGGGUUGCAAUUUCAAUUGGGGUUUGAGAUUAUUUUUCUCCAAUCGAAUGCUAUGAGUUCUCUAAGCUAAUCUUCUCUCUUCAUUUCUUCUUUGAUAGUUUUGUAGGUUUGUUGAGUAUAUAAAGAGUUUGACUAGUCUUAUCUUAUGUUCGACUUUCUCCCCUCCAAGGAAGAUUCAGAGGUUCUAGGUAUUGCUAAUAGUAAAGAUAUUUUGCUGCAUCUAUUUUGAAAGGAAAGAUUUUAGCUUUGGGUUCAUUUGGAAUAUUACAUGAAUAUCAAGUUCAAGCUCAAUUGCGAGAACAUCAUCUGAAGGGGUGAGAUCAGAACUUGUGUAAACCAGAUUUGUUGUCAUGACCAUUAGUGGAACUUGGAUUUUAACUUUAGAUAACACAAUAAUUAUACGUGAUUAUUUAUAUAAUUUUGUUAGGUUGUAUUUAGGAUCAAUGUCACGUUUGUAAAGAAUUUCCCUAUCUACAGUUUUUAGUUUCUUUCUCACUCAAAAAACUAAUAGAUGCCGAAGUUGAGAUACUAUACUAAGCUUAGUUGUGUUACUGUAUUUUGACUUUAACCCUUUUCUUCCUCUAGGUUAUUAAUGAUGGCACGGGCUGCAUAUGUUGAAUUAAUUGUCGGUUGUCAUUUACUGCUUUAUUGUGCAAGUCUUAGGCUUUAACUCAUAAAUUUUCCCUAGGAUUGAAGGCUUUGUCAAGUUGAAUUCUAUUGUGUAUGUAUGUUUAUGUCAUUUUUCUGCUUUCUUGGUUUAAGUCUUAGACUUGCACUCUUUAAGUAUUCCUUAGAAAUAGAGGCUUUGUUGAGUUGAAUUCAUUGGAUCUGUUUGCUGCUUCUAUACUAUGUUGAACUUUAUUAGUAUGGUAUAUUGUCAAUAAUAAUUUGUCAUUUCUAGCAGUCAUGGUCACCUAUGAUAUUAGACAUUGCCCGGAAGGCUUUUCUCCAUAGUGUACGCCACUUUCUUAUUUUAAAUAUGUGAAGUAGAAAUUGUUUCCAUUGAAUAUGGAUUGUUAUGCUAUGAGGAUGGAUAAAUUUGUACCUUACCAAGCAGAUGUAAGGGGCUUUAUUGCAGCUUAUGCAAAAGCAGUAAAAAACAUAACCUAUUUCUUGUUGUCUAUGAAUUUAGUGGUGCUACAAAUGAAGUGGUGCUCUAUUUUGAAAAUACCAAUUCUCAAGCAGCAAACAGUAAAAGGUCUAGAUGCAGCAUUUAUUGGACCCAAUGAAAAUCAAUUUGCAGUUCUUGAUGAUGAUAAGAUUGGACUGGUUUUUAUAUAUUUUGCCUGAAAAAGUUCUCUGGAAGCUAAUGAAAAGAAUCUAUUGUCUGAAGAGAGCCAACCUGUGGAAAUAGAUGGAUUGUGACAAGGCGGCAUUUGGUGUUGCAGCUCCACAAGGCAAAUAAAGGAACUAAGAAGUACGUUGAGUUCCUUCACCUUCCCUUUGGUGUUUUAAUUCUUUUCUUUUUUGGCUAUUUUUCAGACCAUGAAAUGUGCAGACUUUGUUUGAGAGUAAAUGUGCUAAGAUCAUGGAUGAAGUUUGGGAGUUUGGGUUCAAGCCUUGAACAGAGUAUGACUUUCAGAGGAAUAAACACAUGGGGAAACAUAUCGGUUUACUUGAUUUUGAGUGUCUUAAAUUUUGAGCUAGACAGAAGGACACGUACACCCAAAUGCAAUUGGACGAGGUGCAAGAAGAAUUGGCAACUCAUGUCCUAGAGGGGCUUUUUUUUAUUGAACUAAACAUUCCUCCUUCAUUUUACUUGUCUUUUUGGCUAGUAUUUUGCUUAUGUAUAGACAAGCAUGGAUCAUUUGUGGUGUGGGGUUGCAAAAAUUGUGAUUUGGAUGUGACAAGUAUGGAUGUAUUUAAAUUAAUAUAUAUAUAUAUAUAUAUACACAGUCCCCUUCUAUUGA